rnacentral:rRNA from 1 species
AGAAUCAACGCUGGCGGCGUGCCCAACACAUGCAAGUCGAACGAGAAAGUGGUAGCAAUACCAUGAGUAAAGUGGCGCACGGGUGAGUAACACGUGACUAACCUACCCUGGAGUGGGGGAUAACUGAGGGAAACCUUAGCUAAUACCGCAUAACACCUACGGGUCAAAGGAGCAAUUCGCUUCAGGAGGGGUCGCGGCAGAUUAGCUAGUUGGCGGGGUAAUGGCCCACCAAGGCAGUGAUCUGUA